GGGGAAUAUUGCGCAAUGGGGGAAACCCUGACGCAGCGACGCCGUGUGAGGGAAGAAGGCUUUCGGGUCGUAAACCUCUGUCGGGAAGGAAGAACCCCCCAGGUCCGAAUAGGUCCUGGGGCUGACGGUACUUCCAAAGGAAGCACCGGCUAACUCCGUGCCAGCAGCCGCGGUAAUACGGAGGGUGCAAGCGUUAAUCGGAAUCACUGGGCGUAAAGCGCGCGUAGGUGGUGGUUUAAGUCCGUUGUGAAAGCCCUGGGCUCAACCUGGGAACUGCAGUGGAUACUGGAUCACUAGAGUGUGGCAGAGGGUAGUGGAAUUCCCGGUGUAGCAGUGAAAUGCGUAGAGAUCGGGAGGAACAUCAGUGGCGAAGGCGACUGCCUGGGCCAACACUGACACUGAGGCACGAAAGCGUGGGGAGCAAACA
rnacentral:rRNA from 1 species